GGAUAACCUGCCCUAUUGUUGGGGAUUAACUCGGGAAAACUGAGAAUAAAGGCCGGAUAGUUCACAAAGCCUGGAACGGUUUGUGAUCAAAGGUAGGAUGGGUCUGCGGCGUAUCAGGUAGUAGGGGGUAUAAAGGACCCCCUAGCUUUCGACGCGUACGGGUGUUGGGAGACAUAGCCCGGAGAUGGAUUCUGAGACACGAAUCCAGACCCUACGGGGUGCAGCAGGCGCGAAAACUUCACACUGCAGGAAACUGUGAUGAGGGAACUCCAAGUGUGUGCACUAUGUGUACACUUUUAUGAACUUUUAAUCGGUUCAGGAAUAAGGGCUGGGAAAGACCGGUGCCAGCCGCCGCGGUAAUACCGGCAGCUCAAGUGGUCGUCGCUUUUAUUGGGCCUAAAACGUCCGUAGCCUGUUUGGUAAAUCUGUGGGUAAAUCAACUCGCUCAACGAGUUGAAUUCUGCAGAGACUGCCAGACUAGGGACCGGGAGAGGUGUGGGGUACUCGAGGGGUAGGGGUAAAAUCCUGUCAUCCUUCGAGGACCACCAGUUGCGAAGGCGCCACACUGGAACGGAUCCGACGGUCAGGGACGAAGCCUAGGGGCACGAACCGGAUUAGAUACCCGGGUAGUCCUAGGUGUAAACGCUGUGAACUUGGUGUCGGGGGUCCGCAAGGGGUCCCCGGUGCCGGAGUGAAGAUGUUAAGUUCACUGCCUGGGGAGUACGGUCGCAAGGCUGAAACCU
rnacentral:rRNA from 1 species